rnacentral:tRNA from 1 species
GCUUUAUAGUGGAAAAAAGACGUCAAAUUGCAAAUUUGAAGAUGUAUAGAUUACUAAAGCUUA